UUAUUUUGUUACACUUUGAACAUCCAUGACUUUAGUAAAGUAAAGGACAACAAACGCCUCUUGUCGCCAUUUCACAGUUUCCUGUAACCGGAAACUGUCAACUGUCGCGACAACCUGUUGCUGUCAACUGACGUUCGUGUUGUUAGCCGUUUGACAUUGACGUGUUUGUUGUCACACUGUCACAGUGAUACGGGUGCUGUUUGUCUCAGACUGUUUUUAAAAUGUCUACGAGAGUAGUAAUGUAUAAUCCAGAACCAGUGGCGUUUUCAAGGGAGUUUGGGAGCCCCGAGACAAAAUGCUCCUGUGGGCAGGGCCCGUCCAAGUCUUUAUGGGGCCCUACACUGAAUUUGUUGGGGGGGCUUUCAUAAAACACUUCUCUAAACUCUCCUAUGUCUUUUUAUUUUGAAUUUCUGGCUGUAGAAUUGGCAAAAAAAACAACUUUCUUUUAACUAUACUAUAUAACUAUAUGACUAACUUUUAGGAAUACUGAGAAACGUGUAACACGCUGGUGAAUCUUGUCUGUAACAAGUGGGCGCUAAGCUCUAUUUCUCAGCUUUCCGUUAUCCAACCGUUCGUCUUCUACUGCUUUAUCCUCCACAUGAGAGUUGGGAUGCCAGAUCGCCAGUCCAUAGUUUUUGAAUUUUCUAGAUGUCACAAAUGUGAUGCAAACAGGAUGGUAACAGAAGGGUUAAAUUCCAUUAAUAAUAGUUGUGUUCACACCAAACCAGUGUCACUUUUUUUUUUUUUUAUCGUAGAGGGGAGUUAAUCACAAAAAUGGCCUUGUAUUAAUUUGCAUGAUGUGUUUUCACAUGGCGAUUUAAUGCACUUUGUACUUAGGAGAAAUGUCCCAAGACCUGAUUUGUGAUCCGAUUUUCAUGGAGAUCAUCAAUAAAAACAUGCGUGUUCCUGAUCGCCUGAGUGUCGGCACGAGGCAGCAGUGGCAGAGGGAGGAAGGAGAGCAGCCCCCACCAGUUUAUUCCAUGCAGGUCCCUGAAAGGCUGACAUACACAGAAGCCCCUGAUAUGAGCCCCAGGCCUCUGUUUAGCCCGUCCAAGCCGAUGAUCUGUGGUCCCAUGGGUCUGGAACCGUGCUGGGAGAGUCCAUCUGGAGAAGUCUUCUACAAAGAAGCACUGCAGAGUCCCAUACGCAGAUCUUACAGUGACCAAAGCUUUGGCAGGACGCCACCUGGCACCCCGACCCAGAAGAAACAGGCACUGACCAGACACCCAUCAAGCUCUCGAGGUUCGGGUCAUCACAUACGUGAGCACAGCGCCGCGUCCCCCACCGCUCAGACCACCAGCCCUAAGAUCCCGGCUCAGUCUUUCCCCGCCUCCCCCCUCAGCUCCCUGUCGUCACACUCCUUGGUGCAGGCUGCCAAGCAGCUGGGCCGACAAGCUUCACAGCGCCUCCUGCAGACGGUCACGCAGAAAUACAGAUUUAGCAGCCAAGAGAGGCCGCCACCAGCGCGGGUCACGCCGGAGAUUCCUGCUUCAGCACACGUGGAGCACGGCGAGAACAGGGCGAUGGAUACCUGGAGCCCAGAAGAGGAGGGAGGAGCUGCAGCUGUUGAGUUCAUCAUCCUGCGGCGACAGGUGAUGAAAAUGAGCCGUAGGCUGGCGGCACUGGAGCGGCACAACUCUGAACACAGGAGCACUGAAGUCAUCCUCUUCUCCUUGUUGUUCUCUGCGUGUCUGCUCAACGCCUGGCUGUGGAUCCGCAGAUAACACACAACGCACACAACGCACGCCGGUGAACCGCUGUCAACCUCCUGUAGCUCUGACCACUGUCAGGUGCACCCCGCCUAUCACCCUAUGACAGCUGAGAGUGGCACAUCACCCCCCACGACCCCCCACGACCCUCUGGACAAAGCGGUAGAUGAUUCUAGGACUGCGGGAGGAAGCCAGAGAACCCGGAGAAAAGCCAUGCAAACACUGGGAGAACAUGAAAAACUGCAUGCAGAAAGAUCCGUGUUCCAACUGGGUCUCGAACCCAGAAUUUCUUGUUUCAAAGGCAAGAAUAGUACAACUACACCAAACAUCCGGUCCAGGAUGGAGGACAGACAUCCUUAAAUAUCUCAUCAGUCCGAGGUCUGCACAGUCAUGGGUAAUCUGUUAUUGAAAGACUUCCAAAGACUGGCGAACUGUACAGGGUGGACGCCACCUAUCACCCUAUGACAGCUGAGCUUGGCACUGCACCCCACACAACCCUCCGGUGGUGGACAAAGCGGUAGAUGAUUGAUGGACUGUGGGAGGAAGCCGGAGGAAGCCAGAGUCCCUGGAGAAAAGCCACGCACACACGGGGAGAACAUGAAAAACUCCAGAAAGAUACUUGUUCCAAAUGGGUCUUGAACUCUGAAAGUCUUGUUUCAAAGGCAAGAGCACUAACCACUACACCAACCACGUUGUCCAUUUUCGGGGACAAACGUUCUGAAAUAUUUCAUCAGUCUGACAUUUUUUCGAAGUCAUGGGUUCUAUUAUUGAAAGACUUCCAAAUUGUGCAAAAAAGCAUGCAAAGACAAGUAGCUCACACGGUUCAGAUGUGGACUGGCGUUCCUAUGGUCAUGGGUUCGAAUCUUACAUGAAGUCAUUGUUUAAGUCGAAAUUUACCUCAUCACUGUACUGCAUGUUUUGAAUGGACUGGGGAAGAGUCGAGGGUGAACCACGCCUAUCACCCUAUGACAGCUGAGCUUGGCACAGCACCCCCCGCAACCCUCCAGUGUAGGACAAAGCGGUAGAUGAUUGAUGCACUGUGG